rnacentral:lncRNA from 1 species
GAUCGUUUUUGGAAGGGCGUGCGAGUACUGUACGAGGGCGGACUACCUUGAUAAAGGUAAAUACAUAAUUAAUAUGGGUAUCAAGCAUGGUUAUAGUAAAGAGUUCAUUUACUCGAUCAAGCGUAAAGUUGAGAUCAUGAUGAAACAACCAAUAAACUUAGACAGAAACAAUUUAAAUGUACAAGAUACCUCAGAAGAUAAAUAUGCCGACUUACCUUUCCACCUAACUAAACUCCCAGUUGUAAAAAGAAUGGCGAAAAUAUCUGAAAGAAGAAUAGCCGCUAAAAGAGGCCCUAUGGUUUUCUCCUACCUAAGGAAUGAUAAAGAUCGCCUAGAAGACAAAAGUAAAGCAGG